rnacentral:rRNA from 1 species
AUGAUACGCGAGGAACCGUUACCUGGGCGUCAAAUAGUAUGUUGACGUAUUCUGAAAGGGAUACUUCUUCGGACAAUAUACAAGGUGCUGCAUGGUUGUCGUCAGCUCGUGCCGUGAGGUGUCGGGUUAAGUCCCAUAACGAGCGCAACCCUAUCAUUAGUUGCCAUCAGGUCAAGCUGGGGACUCUAAUGAAACUGCCUACGCAAGUAGUGAGGAGGGUGGGGAUGACGUCAAGUCAUCAUGGCCCUUAUGUCCAGGGCGACACACGUGCUACAAUGGGCGGCACAACGGGAAGCGAAGGGGUGACCUGGAGCGGAUCCUAAUAAAGCCGUUCCCAGUUCGGAUUGGAGUCUGCAACCCGACUCCAUGAAGCUGGAAUCGCUAGUAAUCGUGAAUCAGAAUGUCACGGUGAAUACGUUCCCGGGCCUU